GACGAACGCUGGCGGCGUGCUUAACACAUGCAAGUCGAACGGAAAGGCCCUGCUUUUGUGGGGUGCUCGAGUGGCGAACGGGUGAGUAACACGUGAGUAACCUGCCCUUGACUUUGGGAUAACUUCAGGAAACUGGGGCUAAUACCGGAUAGGAGUUCCUGCUGCUUGGUGGGGGUUGGAAAGUUUCGGCGGUUGGGGAUGGACUCGCGGCUUAUCAGCUUGUUGGUGGGGUAGUGGCUUACCAAGGCUUUGACGGGUAGCCGGCCUGAGAGGGUGACCGGCCACAUUGGGACUGAGAUACGGCCCAGACUCCUACGGGAGGCAGCAGUGGGGAAUAUUGCACAAUGAGCGGAAGCCUGAUGCAGCAACGCCGCGUGCGGGAUGACGGCCUUCGGGUUGUAAACCGCUUUCGCCUGUGACGAAGCGUGAGUGACGGUAAUGGGUAAAGAAGCACCGGCUAACUACGUG
rnacentral:rRNA from 1 species